rnacentral:rRNA from 1 species
UACGAAGGGAGCUAGCGUUGUUCGGAAUCACUGGGCGUAAAGCGCACGUAGGCGGAUUUGUCAGUCAGGGGUGAAAUCCCGGGGCUCAACUCCAGAACUGCCUUUGAUACUGAGGAUCUCGAGUCCGGGAGAGGUGAGUGGAACUCCGAGUGUAGAGGUGAAAUUCGUAGAUAUUCGGAAGAACACCAGUGGCGAAGGCGGCUCACUGGCCCGGUACUGACGCUGAGGUGCGAAAGCGUGGGGAGCAAACAGG